AGCAAGCGGACCUCAUAAAGUAUGUCGUAGUCCGGAUUGGAGUCUGCAACUCGACUCCAUGAAGUCGGAAUCGCUAGUAAUCGUAGAUCAGAAUGCUACGGUGAAUACGUUCCCGGGCCUUGUACACACCGCCCGUCACACCAUGGGAGUGGGUUGCAAAAGAAGUAGGUAGCUUAACCUUCGGGAGGGCGCUUACCACUUUGUGAUUCAUGACUGGGGUGAAGUCGUAACAAGGUAACCGUAGGGGAACCUGCGGUUGGAUCACCUCCUUACCUUAAAGAA
rnacentral:rRNA from 2 species